rnacentral:rRNA from 1 species
GACGAACGCUGGCGGCGUGCUUAACACAUGCAAGUCGAACGGAAAGGCCCUGCUUUUGUGGGGUGCUCGAGUGGUGAACGGGUGAGUAACACGUGAGUAACCUGCCCUUGACUUUGGGAUAACUUCAGGAAACUGGGGCUAAUACCGUAUAGGAGCUCCUGCUGCAUGGUGGGGGUUGGAAAUUUUCGGCGGUUGGGGAUGGACUCGCGGCUUAUCAGCUUGUUGGUGGGGUAGUGGCUUACCAAGGCUUGGACGGGUAGCCGGCCUGAGAGGGUGACCGGCAACAUUGGGACUGAGAUACGGCCCAGACUCCUACGGGAGGCAGCAGUGGGGAAUAUUGCACAGUGGGCGGACGCCUGAUGCAGAGACGCCGCGUGCGGGAUGACGGCAUUCGGGUUAUAAACCGCUUUCGCCUGAGACGAAGCGUGAGUGACGGUAAUGGGUAAAGAAGCACCGGCUAACUACGUG